UACGUAGGGUGCAAGCGUUAAUCGGAAUUACUGGGCGUAAAGCGUGCGCAGGCGGUGAUGUAAGACAGUUGUGAAAUCCCCGGGCUCAACCUGGGAACUGCAUCUGUGACUGCAUCGCUGGAGUGCGGCAGAGGGGGAUGGAAUUCCGCGUGUAGCAGUGAAAUGCGUAGAUAUGCGGAGGAACACCGAUGGCGAAGGCAAUCCCCUGGGCCUGCACUGACGCUCAUGCACGAAAGCGUGGGGAGCAAACAGGAUUAGAUACCCGCGUAGUCC
rnacentral:rRNA from 1 species